AACGAACGCUGGCGGCAUGCCUAACACAUGCAAGUCGAACGAGACCUUCGGGUCUAGUGGCGCACGGGUGCGUAACGCGUGGGAACCUGCCCUUAGGUUCGGAAUAACUCCCCGAAAGGGGUGCUAAUACCGGAUAAUGUCUUCGGACCAAAGAUUUAUCGCCUUUGGAUGGGCCCGCGUUGGAUUAGCUAGUUGGUAGGGUAAAAGCCUACCAAGGCGACGAUCCAUAGCUGGUCUGAGAGGAUGAUCAGCCACACUGGGACUGAGACACGGCCCAGACUCCUACGGGGGGCAGCAGUGGGGAAUAUUGGAAAAGGGGCGAAAGCCUGAUCCAGCAAUGCCGGGUGGGUGAUGAAGGCCUUGGGGUUGUAAAGCUUUUUUACCCGGGAUGAUAAGGACAGUACCGGGAGAAUAAGCUCCGGCUAACUCCGG
rnacentral:rRNA from 1 species